GGCUCUCUGCAACCUCCACCUCCUGGGUUCAAGCGAUUCUCCUGUCUCAGCCUCCUGAGUAGCUGGUAUACUCCUGAGUAGCUGAGAUUCAGCGUCCUGAGUAGCUGAGUAACAGAAGGAUGUUCUCGGACCCAGGGAGGGAAAUGAGGACAGAGGCAGGAAUGAGUUUUCAAUUGGAGCAUCAUGAAAAUGAAGCAGAACAUUGUAUUUCAGAAGAAGAGAACACCCAUCAAUCCAAAAGAGUUGAUUUAAUAAAAGUUGAAUCAUCUACAGUUGCCUCCCUGAAGCAGUAACAAAACGAAAUUAAUGCAAAAAUGGAAAUUCUUCUGAUUGUCAGUGGAACAUCAUGAGCAGUGAGGAAAUGUGUGAUGCGGAGGUCUCAGAUAAAAACCACUGUGACUGUUGAACUCUAGUGGAGAAAUGAAAUCACCCCUGCUGGCUCCUCCUCUGCUCAACCUCUAACUGCUGAAGUGUCUUGGGACUUAGUG
rnacentral:lncRNA from 1 species